rnacentral:rRNA from 1 species
CAAUAGCGUAUAUUUAAGUUGUUGCAGUUAAAAAGCUCGUAGUUGGAUUUCGGAUGGGACUUGCCGGCCCGUCGUUUCGAUGUGCACUGGCCAGUCCUAUCUUGUUGUCGGGGACUAGCUCCUGGGCUUCACUGUCCGGGACUAGGAGCUGACGAGGUUACUUUGAGUAAAUUAGAGUGUUCAAAGCAAGCCUACGCUCUGAAUACAUUAGCAUGGAAUAACACGAUAGGACUCUGGCUUAUCUUGUUGGUCUGUGAGACCAGAGUAAUGAUUAAGAGGGACAGUCGGGGGCAUUCGUAUUUCAUUGUCAGAGGUGAAAUUCUUGGAUUUAUGAAAGACGAACUUCUGCGAAAGCAUUUGUCAAGGAUGUUUUCAUUAA